UACGAAGGGGGCUAGCGUUGCUCGGAAUGACUGGGCGUAAAGGGCGCGUAGGCGGUUCGUACAGUCAGACGUGAAAUUCCCGGGCUCAACCUGGGGGCUGCGUUUGAUACGUGCGGGCUUGAGUUCGGAAGAGGGUCGUGGAAUUCCCAGUGUAGAGGUGAAAUUCGUAGAUAUUGGGAAGAACACCGGUGGCGAAGGCGGCGACCUGGUCCGAUACUGACGCUGAGGCGACGAAAGCGUGGGGAGCAAACAGG
rnacentral:rRNA from 1 species